CACUCAGCUUUCUGAAAUGGUGUCCCACCGCAAGGACUGGAGAAGGGCCAUGAGAGAAGCAGUACCUUAUAAUGGUUCCUUGUUCAAAGCACUCAAUAUUCCUAGGAUGUGGUCUCCCAGCUGACUUCAUAACUGAAUCAUCAGUAAUUAAUUUCAUUGUUCUAUUAGGCUGGAGUCCAAUGGUGCGAUGUCUGCUUACUGCAACCUCUGCCUCCCGGGUUCAAGCGAUUCUCCUGUCUCAGCCUCCUGAGGAGAUGGGACUACAGGCACCCUUGGAAAUGCAAUGCUACAUCUCAAUGGGAUUUUCCAGUACAAAGAUUCUUUUCAAAUAACAUAAUUGUGGAUACACACCACUCCUACAGUGGUAAACCUCAGGUUCU
rnacentral:lncRNA from 10 species